rnacentral:lncRNA from 1 species
UUCUUUUUUUGCAUAAAUAAGGCCGUUAGUUUUCUCGUUUGAAUUGUUUUACAUUGUCUUAUCGCGGCCUUUUAUAGCUGACUAUGCGGUAUGGGCUUUGCUCAUUGUUGAAGGCCGUACGGUGACCUAUAGUUGUUAAUGUCUGUGUCAUUUUGGUCUUUUGUGGAUAGUUGUCUCAUUGGCAAUAAUACCACAUCUUCUUUUUUAUAUUGUAUGUGGGUUUUUUUAAUUUUAGUUCAUUUAUAUGUUUUGGAGUUUAGUAUGACGUCCAUUUUCACUGAACUAGUACACUUUUUUAUUUAGGGUCCUGCUGAGGACCACCUCCGGGUACGGGACUGUCUUGUGCGUUGAAGACCCAUUGGUGGCCUUCGGCAGUUGUCUGCUCUUUGGGUUGGUUGUUGUCUAUUUGACAUAUUUUCCAUUUCCAUUCUCAAUUUUCUUUUGAAGUCUUAAUUGUGUCUUUUUACGAAUCAUCUUAUAGAAUCAAAAUGUACUAUACUCAUAAUGUUUACAAGUGUCUCAUAAUCUAUUUGUAUUUGUUUAUAUAUCCCAGUAUAUAAAACUCAAACCUGACGUAUACAAGUGUGUUUAUAUAUCCCAGUAUAUAAA